GCGCCCGUAGCUCAAUUGGAUAGAGCACUGGUCUUCGGAACCAGGGGUUAUAGGUUCGACUCCUAUCGGGCGUG
rnacentral:tRNA from 1 species